UACGAAGGGGGCUAGCGUUGUUCGGAAUUACUGGGCGUAAAGCGCGCGUAGGCGGACAUCUAAGUCAGGGGUGAAAUCCCAGGGCUCAACCCUGGAACUGCCUUUGAUACUGGACGUCUGGAGUUCGGGAGAGGUGAGUGGAAUUCCGAGUGUAGAGGUGAAAUGCGUAGAGAUCGGGAAGAACAUCGGUGGCGAAGGCGGCCUGCUGGGCUGUUGCUGACGCUGAGGCGCGACAGCGUGGGGAGCAAACAGG
rnacentral:rRNA from 1 species